AAUGAGUCAGUGCUAUUCAUCUGCCAAGACUCCAUUAGAGGCAGACUGCUUUCAUCCUGAGGCACGUCCUCCUCCCGUCUUUCCGCUCUAUGGGGACAGCCGCGUGUGCAAGCCACCCCGAAUUCAGCACAUCUAGACUAAUCAAACAGCCUUAAAGUCACCAAGACAAUUACACUGUAACCCUUUACUGUAAAUUUACAGCGAAUUUCUUACAGAAUUGUACUGUAUUUCCAUAAUACAGUAUUAGGCUGGAUCUUUUACAGAACAGCUGUAAAUAUACAGCACAUUUCUGUUUUCAUCCCGAUAAAUUCGUAAUACAGUAUCAGACUGUAAAUGCAUUGCAUUGUGGGAUUGAUUGAUUUUAUUCGCGCUCAAAUUCAGAUGAGACGGUGAUGCCAACUGACAGUUCAGGCAAACUCGAUGUGCCAGCGGGUCUGACGAAUAUUUAUUCCUUUGAUCUAUUUAAAGAGUUUUUGUGAAUUUUUUUGGUUUGUGUGAGUUUCGUUUCGUGUAAGCUUUUGUGUGCGUCUUUCAAAUAUGAGUUGCCUGUGACGCAGCAGAAACGGUUAACGUCUCAUGAACUUGAUGAAGACGGGAGGAAGAAUCGGUCAUGCGUCUGUGAGCAAAAGUGGAUUUUAGAGCUUGAGAAGAGUGUUCAACUGACUGAUACGGUUUUAUAAUCUGAUGACAAUCCAGUGCUAAAGUCAAUCUCUGAGCAACCAGCGCUGGAUGUUGAGUUUGGAGGGUCAAGUUGUGUGUGAAGGAGCACAGCCCAACUUCAUCACCGGACUGGCAGCGUUGUUUGCCUCCUUCUAUAAUUUCAAUUUACAGUACCAGGAAGAGGCAGCAUGCACCCUUGAGUUUGUUCAGAGACGCUUUGUUGACAUCAAUCCUGAACGUGGAUCGAAAGCAAAAAAAGGAAAAGUGACUUCAAAGAAAACUGGCCAAGUUGUGCAAAAAAAGAACACCACUGUAAGCCCACCGGUUUCCUCACUUCUGCAAAAACUUGCAGACUUUGAAUGGAACUUUGUUUAGAUCCUGUCAGCAAGUACAUUAAAAGUAAAUAUGAUUACUGCAUCGUUAAUUCCAUUUAUAAAAUACAACUGCCAUUUCAGCCAAUUUGCUGUUCUAUUUUAAUUUUUUGACUCUUUACAUUUCUGGGAAAAAAAACUUUAAAUUUGUUAAAGGUUAACAAGAUUACUAUAUUAUAAAGUGUUAAGUGUUUAACUAACAUUUUAAAUGUUUAAAAAAAAAAAAACAGCUGGCAUUUCAUCCAAAUGUGUUCACAUAAGGCAAGUGUCUGGUCGUUGCUUUUAAAAUAAAUGUUUUAAAACCCA